rnacentral:lncRNA from 1 species
GAGACAUCAGGAGUCAUCUCCUGAUGAUGGCAGGAGAUAAAGAAAGGAAGACAAGAUGCUGAGAUAGGGGACCUUCCAACAUCAGGAAGAGACGAAGUGGUCAGUGUGGUGUGCCAGAUACAAAGAAAAAGCCCUCCUGCACUUCAAACCGCAGAGCCCUGCCAAGUACUCUGCCCUCAUCAAUCUCCAUUCAAAUGCCAGCAAAAUGACCCUACGGAUAAAGGCAUGGUGCCAUAGCUCAUCCUUGCAAGACAGUCCGUUGGCAGUUGUAGUCCAAACUCCUGCAGGGCUCUCAGCAGCCCGUUAAGUGAUGGAUGGCUGGAAAGCUGAUGACGGAGGAUGGGGAGGGGAGUGUCACCAUUUCACUGAAGCUGGCAAGAAGACCUAUUGCCAUUCUUGAAGCCUAGCGAUUCUUUGAUAAAAACAAGCAUUUUUAUAAACUAACUGGUUUUUCAUAACCAAAGUGA